ensembl:lncRNA
CUGUACUUUGAGAUCCCCUUGCCUUGUUGUGUAAACAGUUUGUACACCUGAACCAAUGGUGUGUUCUAGUUCAGUGGCCACAGCGUGGAAGAGACAUGACUGCAAGAGAGAGCAGGGGAAAGUCCCGAACUCCAAGGAACAUUCUGUUUAAAAACAACAAUCCUGAUUCCCCCAGGUGAUGUCAAGAGAAACCUUCAGAAAAAUGAUAGAGGGAGUCCAGAAGGCCACGACUUCUGCUUGGGGGUUGUUACUGAGGUCGUCAUCUUACCUGCUCUUCUUGUUGAGAUGUGCCCUGUUCUGAGGGAAUGGCCUGAUCCUGAUUUGGCUACAUAGACUUGGCUUCUCAGAGGUGCUGGGCGUCCACACGGUGCAGCCUGGUGCCAGCACACGAGAACUUUGCAGGAGCCCUGGGAUGGGCAUCUCCCUCUGUCUACACGGCCGGUCUGAGCUCCGGGCUGGGAUCUAACUACUUUCCUGCCACUGGUGCACUUGCCCGACUUCUCAGUUGGCAGCUCUCUGCCUGAAGACUUUGUCUGGCUGACCUGGGAGCCCAUUCUGCUCCUGCAGCAGGAAAGAGGUCCAAGUCUCCACGCCCAGUGCUCCACUCACCGCAAAGCAGCUGUCAACCAAUGACUGAGAGGAGCUGGUAUCACGCUCCCUCAUUCUUCAGGUGGGACCACUCUGAGACGUGUACUCUACGCUGGCUCCGAGUUCCUCAGCAGGAAUGCGCUUCAGUCAUCCAGGCACUGCUAGGUGCUGAGGAAGCAGGGGUCUGUGAGAACAUGGUUGCUGUCCUGGGAGAACUAAGCUCCUAGUGGAAGAUUGUGCUGGAAAACACAAAAGUUAAGUAAUUCUCCAUCUUCCGGAGGCUUGCUAGAGGGUUUGGUAACGUGCAUUUCUCAGACGGGGACGGGGUUAGACAAGUGAGAGAGCUCCUGUGAGGCCGGUGGCUUCUCAGAAGGCAGCUCCCAGGAGACCAACAGGCAGGGGCUCAGGCAGGGCGCGGCCUGUGCGAGUAGAGAGGAGGGGGAGUUUGAUGGAGAAUGAGCUGGGGGGAGUUCCCCACCACUGCCAAGCUUUGGGAGGUGCCGUGAAGACCAGAGGACCCGGGGGCUGGCGGGAGGCCGGGCCGUCCAAGGCUCUCCUGCCCGCUCAGGGGGAGAGCAAAAGCCCCUGUGCUUGCUGAGGGAGACGGGUUUAUAGUCACACAGUAGUUCGCAGAUUUACAUGUGGUCCACCUACUUAAUAGUAAUCAAUGUGUCAUUUGGCAUUUGUGUUAAUUAAACUUUUUAAUAAAACUUUGGGUUAAGAGUGCUUAUCUCACAUUUCAGACAUUCCCAGGAGUGCUUAGAAAGGGGCUCGGAGAGGAAAAAUAUGCCAUUUGGCAAUAUUCCAUGAAACUAAUUACCAUAAAGAAGUCAUGAAAAUUUGCACAGAAGGGCUUGCGACAAAUAUUUGAAUCAAUUCAGAAGAUAAUUUGCCUUAGUUUUGCCAGAUUCUCAAUAUAUCCAGUCCCUCACCUCCCACAUGGAGGCUUACGAGGGAGCCAGCACUUCGCCUUCCCACAAUUCCAACAAUAUGAGCUUCUCCCUUAAAUCUGACUUCCUUUUGGGACCCCAUGGAAGUCUUGAUGCUAACACCAUGAAAUAGGAAAAUAAGUUUUUCCUUGCUCUUUAGCACAGAGUUGCUGACAUGAAAUUCUCCACUGAAGCUCACCACUCAGGACAAGCUCUCUGGGUCACCUUCUGAGACACAAUAAACGACAGCGUCGCGUCGGCCUCGUGAGUGUGAGUUCCGUAAGGGCAAGGACGUCACCAGCUUAGUUUAGCUGACUGUGUUUCCAGGGCCCAACGUAUUUAUUCAAUGAAAGAGUAAAAGGAUUAUAUACCAUUUCAUACCCAGGAAUAACAAAGCCUAUUAAAAACAAAAAUGAAUACUGGAAAAAAAAAAGAGCAUUUCUCCAGGGAAAUGAAGAAACAGCGCAUGUCUCAGUACGUGAAUUAUAGGUCCCUCGACAGAAAGUGUGUCCGCUUGGCCCCGGGUGUAAAGAGGCCUGAGAAAGCCAGGACAAACGUCCAGUCUCAUAAUUUGAAAGUGUCUGGGCAGCUGCUUGCACCUCUUGUCUGACCCACAUUCUGCCUAUCUGCAUAUUCAGAAGAACCACACGUGACCCACGACAGUGGUGAGAGUAGUCUCCUCUCUCUGCUAGACCCAAGCCACCGGGAUUUACUGCCACGUGGACAUUGAGAAAGAAAGCACUGGCCAUAGUUCAUGAAAAAGAUGGUGGGUCACAGCUUUCUCCUUCUUGUGGUCUUGGUUCUUUGAUUCCAGGAACACCCGAUCUUAAAUUAUUAACCCUGCUGUGUUGUUGUUCUUUAGACUUAGUUUGGUCUGAGGUGUCUGUAAGAGGUUUGGGACUUCACAUUUUGCAAGUGACACCUGGUAAAGCAUUCAGUGAGGCCGACUGAGUACUGAGUUUGCGACUCCAUUCACUUGUGAAGUCCCAAUCGUCAGCCAUGCCUUGACGUGCAGAAGAAAACCAUUUUGAGUAAAUGAUUUCCGUUACUGAAAGCCUAUGGGUAUAAUUUUCUGAGUUUCUUCUAUGGAAGACAAAGAUGUAUGUCUAGUAUUUGAUAAAUAUCAAAUGCAUUUGACUUAAUUUUAACUUUGUUCUCAUGGGCUUCCUUUGAGACCAGUAAGAAAUGGUUGAAUUGAAAACCAAGGGAUGGAGUGAGGCACUUGGAGUACUCAGUACUGUGGUAUUCAGUGCUUUGGUACUCAGUAGUGGGGCACUCAGUGCUGGGUACUCAGUACUGUGGUACUUGGUGCUAGGGUACUCAAUAGUAGGGGAGUAUAGCUCAUGCUUUCCUGGAAUAAGGAACAGAAUUGGUGGUCAUCAGGAAAUUUGACCGCAAGUGUGGGUUUAUCAGUCCUAGAUAGAGUCUCAGAAUUGGGAAGGACCCUGACAGUUCUGGAGUCUAACCACUCAUUCUGUGCUUGCAUCCCCACUGUGACAUGUUGCCCAUCUGUCCUCACCUCCUCCAAGAUAUCCAUUCCACAGAGAUUGCAAACUGGCAGCGCACAGAAAUGUUUUGUUUGAUUUGCCUGGUGUUUAGAUGUUUUUUAAAUUUAGCUCGUAACACUUAAACAUUGAGAGAUUCCUCAUAGACUCUUAGAACUCUGGCUUCUCCUGAAAAUCAGUUAACGCCACUGGUGCUGCCUUCCUGUGGGCGUCAACAGGCUGGAGUGUGGGAGCCACUCCCGCAUUGAGACGAGCACUGUGCUCUCCAGCUCCCCAGCCUCCACCCAGCCUGCCUUGCACUCCUUCUGCUGCCUCUGUUUGCCUUGGACCCUGACUUCUGUCCUGGAAGCCCUGUUCACUGGCUUGACACCAUGAGAAACCAGCUCCAAGCAAUACGAAUGCCCAUGUUUAAUAAAAGGGAAAACUCACUUUUACCUCUUUAGUUAUAGUCUUCUUGCUGUGGUUCAUGUUUUCUUCACUCUUCUCAUUUGUGCCCCCACACUCUAUUGACACUCUCGUCCAUUUGAGUCAAAUAUUUUUUGGGCUCUCGCAGGGUCCACAUUUUUCAAUAGACCCCAUGUAGUUGGAACAGAAACAAGGAAAGUAUAUGGUCUCUACACAGAGGGAGUUAAUAGCUCAUUAAAUGGCAAAGUGGAAAAAUUGAUGAUUGAGGCAGAUCAGUGUGUGGGAGGC